rnacentral:rRNA from 1 species
UACGUACCGGACAAACGUUAUUCGGAAUCACUGGGCUUAAAGAGUGCGUAGGCGGCCUUGCAGGUGAGGUGUGAAAUCCCACGGCUCAACCGUGGAAUUGCGCUUCAAACCGCUAGGCUCGAGGGAGACAGGGGUGAGUGGAACUGAUGGUGGAGCGGUGAAAUGCGUUGAUAUCAUCAGGAACACCAGUGGCGAAGGCGACUCACUGGGUCUCUACUGACGCUGAGGCACGAAAGCUAGGGGAGCAAACGGG